CUUUUUACAGUUCCAUUGAAGAAGAUACUGUCGUUCGUGAUUAAGUCAGGAUAAAGAUCGAUUCACACUAUACGUAACGUCAACAUCACAUUGCCUACCGUCAACGUCACAUCAUCUACCGGCAACGUCACGUAAAGUUUUAGGUAGAUUGGCACUUCACGGAACGUCAACGUCACCGACCAGCAGUGUCACAUGGAUGUUGCUAUCUCUCUUUGCACCAAUCGCACACGUGUAUCUUUGUACAUCAACAUCAGUCCCGCGUUGUCGGUUUUCAUAUUUGUUUCUCAAUAGACAGGUCGAUCCCUAUUACAUUUUCUUGUUUGAAAUCAUGUCCAAAUUUACGAAAAGAAAAUUAGCGAUGAUCGCAUUAAUUUUGCAUGAGGAUUUCAUCAUAUUGACGUACUUGUUCAAUAGAGUUCGUCAUCCAUAAUGAAAAAUAUAAAAUUUAAAAUAAGCAAAAACCAUUUUGCAGAACACGUUCAACUCAGCACGUCCACACUUGCCUUGCCAUUCCUUCGUUCACACUUGUACAACCGGUAAGGCAACGUCACGUCAAAAUAUUCUUCUCGACGAAUCUAAACGUUCCGUCACGUUGCCGAUACGUGUCGUUACCUGUAUGUGUGAACGUUUACCUUUAAAAUUCAUUUUACAAUAUUUUGACGUGAUGUUGCCGGUAGGUGACGUGACGUUGGCGUUCCGUAUAGAAUCGAC
rnacentral:lncRNA from 1 species